rnacentral:rRNA from 1 species
GAUGAACGCUGGCGGCGUGCCUAAUACAUGCAAGUCGAGCGAACAGAUGAGGAGCUCGCUCCUCUGACGUUAGCGGCGGACGGGUGAGUAACACGUGGAUAACCUACCUAUAAGACUGGGAUAACUUCGGGAAACCGGAGCUAAUACCGGAUAAUAUAUUGAACGGCAUGGUUCAAUAGUGAAAGACGGUUUUGCCGUCACUUAUAGAUGGAUCCGCGCCGCAUUAGCUAGUUGGUAAGGUAACGGCUUACCAAGGCAACGAUGCGUAGCCGACCUGAGAGGGUGAUCCGCCACACUGGAACUGAGACACGGUCCAGACUCCUACGGGAGGCAGCAGUAGGGAAUCUUCCGCAAUGGGCGAAAGCCUGACGGAGCAACGCCGCGUGAGUGAUGAAGGUCUUCGGAUCGUAAAACUCUGUUAUUAGGGAAGAACAAAUGUGUAAGUAACUAUGCACGUCUUGACGGUACCUAAUCAGAAAGCCACGGCUAACUACGUG